GAUGAAGAACGCAGCGAAAUGCGAUAAGUAAUGUGAAUUGCAGAAUUCAGUGAAUCAUCGAAUCUUUGAACGCACCUUGCGCUCUUUGGUAUUCCGAAGAGCAUGCCUGUUUGAGUGUCAUGAAAAUAUCAACCUUGACUUGGGUUUUGUGCUCUAGUCUCGGCUUGGAAUUGGGUGCUUGCCGCUUUUACGAGCGGCUCACCUUAAAUGUAUUAGCUGGAUCUGUCUUUGAGACUUGGUUUGACUUGGCGUAAUAAGUAUUUCGCUAAGGACAUUCUUCGGAGUGGCCUCGUUUCUAGGACGCUUGUCCGCUUUCCAAUACAAGUUCCACCUCGUGGACAUGACUUUUUAUUAUCUGGCCUCCAAUCAGGUAGGACUACCCGCUGAACUUAAGCAUAUCAAUAAGCGGAGGA
rnacentral:misc_RNA from 1 species